CAGUAGCCGCGGUAAUACGAAGGGUGCAAGCGUUAAUCGGAAUUACUGGGCGUAAAGCGUGCGUAGGCGGUUUGUUAAGUCUGUUGUGAAAUCCCCGGGCUCAACCUGGGAAUGGCAAUGGAUACUGGCAAGCUAGAGUGUGUCAGAGGAUGGUGGAACUCCCGGUGUAGCGGUGAAAUGCGUAGAGAUCGGGAGGAACAUCAGUGGCGAAGGCGGCCAUCUGGGACAACACUGACGCUGAGGCACGAAAGCGUGGGGAGCAAACAGGAUUAGAUACCCCAGUAGUCCCUGUCUCUUAUAC
rnacentral:rRNA from 1 species